UACGUAGGGGGCAAGCGUUGUCCGGAAUCAUUGGGCGUAAAGCGCGCGUAGGCGGCCCGGUAAGUCCGCUGUGAAAGUCCAGGGCUCAACCCUGGAAAGCCGGUGGAUACUGCCGGGCUAGAGUCCGGAAGAGGCGAGUGGAAUUCCUGGUGUAGCGGUGGAAUGCGCAGAUAUCAGGAAGAACACCAACGGCGAAGGCAGCUCGCUGGGACGGAACUGACGCUAAGGCGCGAAAGCGUGGGGAGCGAACAGG
rnacentral:rRNA from 1 species